rnacentral:rRNA from 1 species
UACAGAGGGUGCAAGCGUUGUCCGGAAUCACUGGGCGUAAAGGGCGCGUAGGCGGCCUGAUAAGUAGGGGGUGAAAUCCUGGGGCUUAACCUCAGGGCUGCCUUCUAGACUGUCCGGCUCGAGCACAGUAGAGGCAGGUGGAAUUCCCGGUGUAGCGGUGGAAUGCGUAGAGAUCGGGAAGAACAUCGGUGGCGAAGGCGGCCUGCUGGGCUGUUGCUGACGCUGAGGCGCGACAGCGUGGGGAGCAAACAGG